rnacentral:rRNA from 1 species
GACGAACGCUGGCGGCGUGCCUAAUACAUGCAAGUAGAACGCUGAAGGAGGAGCUUGCUUCUCUGGAUGAGUUGCGAACGGGUGAGUAACGCGUAGGUAACCUGCCUGGUAGCGGGGGAUAACUAUUGGAAACGAUAGCUAAUACCGCAUAAUAGUAGAUGUUGCAUGACAUUUGCUUAAAAGGUGCAAUUGCAUCACUACCAGAUGGCCCUGCGUUGUAUUAGCUAGUUGGUGGGGUAACGGCUCACCAAGGCGACGAUACAUAUCCGACCUGAGAGGGUGAUCGGCCACACUGGGAUUGAGACAAGGCCCAGACUCCCACGGGAGGCAGCAGUAGGGAGUCUUCGGCAAUGGGCGGAAGUCUGACCGAGCAACGACGCGUGAGUGAAGAAGGUUUUCGGAUCCUAAAGCUCUGUUGUAAGAGAAGAACGAGAGUGAGAGUGGAAAGUUCACACUGUGACGGUAACUUACCAGAAAGGGACGGCUAACUACGUG